rnacentral:rRNA from 1 species
AUUGAACGCUGGCGGCAGGCUUAACACAUGCAAGUCGAACGGUAACAUAAAGAAGCUUGCUUCUUUGAUGACGAGUGGCGGACGGGUGAGUAAUGCUUGGGAAUCUAGCUUAUGGAGGGGGAUAACUACGGGAAACUGUAGCUAAUACCGCGUAAUAUCGAAAGAUUAAAGUGUGGGACCUUCGGGCCACAUGCCAUAGGAUGAGCCCAAGUGGGAUUAGGUAGUUGGUGAGGUAAAGGCUCACCAAGCCGACGAUCUCUAGCUGGUCUGAGAGGAUGACCAGCCACACUGGGACUGAGACACGGCCCAGACUCCUACGGGAGGCAGCAGUGGGGAAUAUUGCGCAAUGGGGGCAACCCUGACGCAGCCAUGCCGCGUGAAUGAAGAAGGCCUUCGGGUUGUAAAGUUCUUUCGGUAGCGAGGAAGGCAUUUAGUUUAAUAGACUAAGUGA